rnacentral:rRNA from 1 species
AUUGAACGCUGGCGGCAUGCCUUACACAUGCAAGUCGAACGGCAGCGGACCUUCGGGUGCCGGCGAGUGGCGAACGGGUGAGUAAUAUAUCGGAACGUACCUUUCAGUGGGGGAUAACGUAGCGAAAGUUACGCUAAUACCGCAUAUUCUGUGAGCAGGAAAGCAGGGGAUCGCAAGACCUUGCGCUGAUUGAGCGGCCGAUAUCAGAUUAGCUAGUUGGUGAGGUAAAGGCUCACCAAGGCGACGAUCUGUAGCGGGUCUGAGAGGAUGAUCCGCCACACUGGAACUGAGACACGGUCCAGACUCCUACGGGAGGCAGCAGUGGGGAAUUUUGGACAAUGGGCGCAAGCCUGAUCCAGUCAUGCCGCGUGAGUGAAGAAGGCC